UGUGCCAGCAGCCGCGGUAACACCGGCAGCCCAAGUGGUAGCCACGCUUAUUGGGUCUAAAGCGUCCGUAGCCGGCCAAGUAAGUUCUUUGGGAAAUUUGACCGCUUAACGGUCAAGCUAUCAGGGAAUACUGCUUGGCUUGGGACCGGGAGAGGUCAGAGGUACUCCAAGGGUAGGGGUGAAAUCCGUUAAUCCUUGGGGGACCACCGGUAGCGAAGGCGUCUGACCAGACCGGGUCCGACGGUGAGGGACGAAGGCUAGGGUCGCGAACCGGAUUAGAUACCCGGGUAGUCCUAGCUGUAAACGAUGCGGGCCAGGUGUUGGCAUUACUGCGAGUGAUUCCA
rnacentral:rRNA from 1 species